GCGGCAAAAGCUCAAAUUUGAAAUCUGGCACUUUCAGUGUCCGAGUUGUAAUUUGAAGAAGGUAUCUUUGGGUCUGGCUCUUGUCUAUGUUUCUUGGAACAGAACGUCACAGAGGGUGAGAAUCCCGUGCGAUGAGAUGACCCAGACCUAUGUAAAGUUCCUUCGAAGAGUCGAGUUGUUUGGGAAUGCAGCUCUAAGUGGGUGGUAAAUUCCAUCUAAAGCUAAAUAUUGGCGAGAGACCGAUAGCGAACAAGUACAGUGAUGGAAAGAUGAAAAGAACUUUGAAAAGAGAGUGAAAAAGUACGUGAAAUUGUUGAAAGGGAAGGGCUUGAGAUCAGACUUGGUAUUUUGUAUGUUACUCUUUCGGGGGUGGCCUCUACAGUUUACCGGGCCAGCAUCAGUUUGGGCGGUAGGAGAAUUGCAAAGAAAUGUGGCACUGCUUCGGUAGUGUGUUAUAGUCUUUGUCGAUACUGCCAGCCUAGACUGAGGACUGCGGCUUCGGCCUAGGAUGUUGGCAUAAUGAUCUUAAGUCGCCCGUCU
rnacentral:rRNA from 1 species